rnacentral:tRNA from 2 species
AGUAAAGUAAGCUAAGCAAGCUUUUGGGCCCAUACCCCAACAAUGUCGGUUAAACCCCCUCCUUUACUA